rnacentral:lncRNA from 1 species
GAGGAGGAGGAGGAGGAGAGCGCCUCGGCCUCCUUCCCGCGCUCCCCCUCGGAGAGCUCCGUGGCCGAGGGGCCGGACGAGGCCUUCGCCUACCGCGACGACACCUCGGCCUCCUCCGACUCGGCCUCCUGCGGCGACGAGGGCGGCCGCCCCGACGGGACCCCGCGCCCGGCGCUGCCCCUGCGCCGCCCCGCCGGCGGCAUCGAGCUCCACCUGGACGGCACUGCAGCCCUGGAGGAGGAGGAGGAAGAGGAGGUGGCGGCACCUCCGUUGCCUUGCAGCCCCAGGAUGCCCGCAGUGCUGGGUGAGGAAGACCUGGGCGAGGAAGAGCUCUCCAAGGAGAGCUUCAACAUCUCCCCUGCCAAGCAGGACCUGGCAUCAGCAUCCGUGGCGGCACCGGGUGAGGAAGAGCUCUCCAAGGAGAGCGGCAGCAUCUCCCCUGCCAAGCAGGACCUGGCAUCAGUGGCAGCACCGGGUGAGGAAGACCUGGGUGAGGAAGAGCUCUCUGAGGAGAGCAGCAGUGUCUCCCCCACCGAGCAAGACCUGGCAUCAGCAUCAGUGGCGGCACCGAGUGAGGAAGACCUGGGCGAGGAAGAGCUCCCCAAGGAGAGCAGCAGCAUCUCCCCUGCCAAGCGAGAGCCAGCGUUGGCAUCCCCGCUGGCAUCGCUGGUGGCACCAGGUGAGGAAGACUUGAGCGAGGAAGAGCUCUCUGAGGAGAGCAGCAGUGUCUCCCCUGCUGAGCAAGACCUGGCAUCAGUGGUGCUGGGCAAGGAAGACCUGGGUGAGGAAGAGCUCCCCAAGGACAGUGGCAGUGUCUCCCCUGCUGAGCAAGACCUGCCAUCAGCAUCCCUACUAGCAUCAGCAGCAGUACCACGUGAGGAAGACCUGGGUGAGGAAGAGCUCUCUGAGGAGGGCAGCAGCAUCUCCCCUGCUGAGCAAGACCUGGCAUUGGUGGUGGUGCCAGGUGAGGAAGACCUGGGUGAGGAAGAGCUCCCCAAGGAGAGCAGCAGUGUCUCCCCUGCCGAGCAAGACCUGCCAUCAGCAGUGCUGGGUGAGGAAGACCUCGGUGAGGAAGAGCUCCCCAAGGAGAGCAGCAGUGUCUCCCCUGCCGAGCAAGACCUGGCAUCAGCAUCUCCACCAGCAUCAGCAGUGGCACCAGGUGAGGAAGACCUGGGUGAGGAAGAGCUCUCUGAGGAGGGCAGCAGCAUCUCCUCUGCCAAGCGAGACCUGGCAUCCUCAUCAGCACCAGGUGAGGAAGACCUGGGUGAGGAGGAGCUCUCCAAGGACAGUGGCACCAUCUCCCCUGCCAAGCAAGACCUGGCAUCGGUGGUGACGCCAGGCGAGGAAGACCAGGGCAAGGAAGAGCUCUCCAAGGACAGCGGCAGUGUCUCUGCUGCUGAGCAAGACCUGGCAUCAGCAGUGCUGGGCGAGGAAGACCUGGGUGAGGAAGAGCUCUCCAAGGAGAGCAGCAGUGUUUCCCCUGCCAAGCAAGACAUGGCAUUGGCAUCCCCGCUGGCAUCAGUGGUGGCACUGGAUGAGGAAGACCUGGGUGAGGAAGAGCUCUCUGAGGAGAGCAGCAGUGUUUCCCCUGCCAAGCAAGACAUGGCAUUGGCAUCCCCACUGGCAUCAGUGGUGGCACUGGAUGAGGAAGACCUGGGUGAGGAAGAGCUCUCUGAGGAGAGCAGCAGUGUCUCCCCCACUGAGCAAGACCUGGCAUCAGCAUCAGUGGCGGCACCGAGUGAGGAAGACCUGGGCGAGGAAGAGCUCCCCAAGGAGAGUGGCAGCAUCUCCCCUGCCAAGCAAGACCUGGCCUCAGCAUCCCCACUGGCAUCAGUGGUGGCACCAGAUGAAGACCUGGGUGAGGAAGAGCUCCCCAAGGAGAGUGACAGCGUCUCCCCUGCUGAGCAAGACCUGGCAUCCUCAGCACCGGGUGAGGAGGACCAUGGUGAGGAAGAGCUCUCUGAGGAGAGUGGCAGCAUCUCCCCCACCGAGCAAGGCCCGGCAUUGGCAGCCCUGCUGGCGUCAGCAGCCCCACCAGCAUCGGCGGCACCGGGUGAGGAAGACCUGGGCAAGGAAGAGCUCUCCAAGGAGAGCAGCAGCAUCUCCUACGCUGAGCAAGACCUGGCGUUGGUGUCCCUGCCAGCAUCGGUGACCCUGGGUGAGGAAGACCUGGGUGAGGAAGAGCUCUCUGAGGAGAGCAGCAGCAUCUCCCACACUGAGCAAGACCUGCCGUUGGCGUCCCUGCCGGCAUCUGCAUCCCCACUGGCAUCGGCGAUGCUGGGUGAGGAAGACCUGGGUGAGGAAGAUCUCUCCGAGGAGAGUGGCAGUGUCUCCCCCUGUGAGCGAGACCUGGCAUCAGCAUCCCCGCCGGCAUCGGUGGCACCAGGGGAGGAAGACCUGGGCGAGGAAGAGCUCUCCUCUGAGAGCAGCAGCGUUUCCCCUGCUGAGCAAGACCUGGCAUCAGCGACGCUGGGCGAGGAAGACCUGGGCGAGGAAGAGCUCUCUGAGGAGAGCAGCAGCAUCUCCCACACUGAGCAGGACCUGGCAUUGGCAGCCCCACCGGCAUCAGCGUCGCUGGGCGAGGAAGACCUGGGCGAGGAAGAGGCUUCUGAGGAGAGCAGCAGCAUCUCCCACACGGAGCAGGACCUGGCAUUGGCAGCCCCACCGGCAUCAGUGACACUGGGUGAGGAAGACCUGGGUGAGGAAGAGCUCUCUGAGGAGAGCAGCAGCAUCUCCCACACUGAGCCAGACCUGGCCUCGGCGUCCCUGCCGGCAUCGGCAGCGCCAGGCGAGGAAGACUUGGGUGAGGAAGAGCUCUCCAAGGAGAGCUGCUCAGCAGCAGAGACGCUGCCAGACCUGGCAUCAGCAUCCCCGCUGGCAUCGGCAGCACCAGCUGAGGAAGACCUGGGUGAGGAAGAGCCCUCUGAGGAGAGCAGCAGCAUCUCCCACACUGAGCCAGACCUGGCAUCGGCAUUGCUGCCAGCAUCAGUGGCACCAGGUGAGGAAGACCUGGGUGAGGAAGAUCUCUCCGAGGAGAGCAGCAGCGUCUCCUCCUCUGAGCGAGACUCGGCAUCGGCAUCGCUGCCGGCGGCGCCGGAGGAGGACGAGUGCCCGGAGGAAGCUGCCGCCGUCGGCACCUCGCCGAGGGAAGCGGAGCUGCACGCGCCGGGCGAUGCCGGCCUGGCCCAGGACGGCCACAUCCAGGUCCCCUCUGAAGAAGCCGCCGCAGAGCCACCGAGUGACCUGGACACUGAGUGCUUCCUCCCCUGCCCUGCUGAGGAAGAGGAGCCGGAGGCCCUGGGGAUGCCGGAGGCCACCGCGGCGGAGCUGGACCUGCAUCACCCGCCGGAGCCCUCUGUCCCCACCGAGCCACCGCGGGAAGCGGAGGGGACCGAGGCCGAUGUGACGAAUGUGCCGGGGCUCUGCACGGCGCCCGGCGACAGCCCCCCGGAGCCCCCGUGCCCGGGAGAGGCCGAAGAGCCCGGCCCGGAGGACAACGCCGCGGCCGAGCCGGAGCGAGCCGCCGGCACCCGCAGCCCCGCGGAGGAGUCCGGGAAGCUGCCGGAGCUCGGCGCCGACGGCCUCUCGGACGGGGCGGCCUCGGACAGCGGGGCGGCGGGGCGGCCGGAGGGCUCGCGGCCGGGGGAGGCCGGGGAGGAGCCGGAGGGCGGGCGGACGGCGGAUGCCGACGGCGCCCGGGAUGCAACCGCCUCGUCCGAGGAGUCGUCGCCGGAGCAGCCGGACACCUCGCGGUCCUGCCUCCGCACCGACUCCAGCUUCUUCCUCGCCCCCGAGGACAACGCCAGCGAGCCGCUGGCCCCCCGGCCCCGCUCCUCCUCAUCCUCCUCCGGCGAUGAAGAGGAGGCCGGUGCCGCCCGGCUCUGCCCGGCGCCCGAGCGGCCGCGUUUCACCGCCUCCGAGCGGGAGGUCUACGUGGGAGCGCCCGCCGCCCCGCCGGCCCCUCUCGAACUGCUCCAACCACCCGGUGCCUUUUUGGAGAGCCCCCAGCCGCCUUCGGCCUCGCGGCGGCUCCGGGAUCGGCAGCAGGUCGCCACCAUGCUGCAGGGCUCCUUCGGGGAGCUGGCGGUGGCCGGGCGGCUCCGGGGCAGGGCCGUCUCGCCGGAGAGCCACGUCCGCGUCCCCCAGCCUGGUGCUCCUCAACCCAAAGAUCUGGAUGUCCCGCUGUCCCCGGAGCGCCUGGAUGUCCCGCUGUCCCCGGAGCGCCUGGACGUCCCGCCGUCCCCGGAGCAUCCCGAUGUGGGGAGCGCCUGCCCCGCUCCUCCAUGCGUGGAGGCAUCUCCUGGCCCCAUGGUGCUGGAGGAGGAGACCCUCGUUGGGGGUCUCCCGGUGGAGAGCAGCCCCACGCCACCCUCGAGCCCCGGCGUCGAGCCUGCGGCCUCCGUGCAGGAGGACGGCGAGGAAGAGGAGGGCACGGCAGGGCUGCUGGAUGCCACCGAAGGCGGAGAGGCUCCUCCGAGCCCCGCGGAGGUGGACGUCCCGCCGGCAGCCUCCGCGGGGCCCCUGGAUGCGGCCCCCAGCCCCGCCACCCCCUCCGCCGCGGAGGAGCCGCCGGCCGCCUCGGCAGCCCCCCGGCCUCCGCUCUCCGACCUCAUCCAAGUGCCUGCGCUGUCCUCGGCGCCUCCCCGCGCGGGACCGCGGCCGGAGGAGCCGUCGCCGUCACCGUCGCCGCCGGGACGCCCGGGGACGGAAGCAGCAGCCCGGGGGCAAAGGGCCGCGGGCCAAGGAGGCGGCGUCGGCCGAGGGGCGCCGGGCGGCCCGCGGCUCCGUGCAGUCCGAGUCGAGCUCCUCCAGCGAGGCGGAGCUGCCCUACCGCUGCCCCGAGAUGGAGCACCUGCGGCAAGCCGCCGGCAUCGCCCUGCUCGAGGACAAGAAGCCCCUGGCGCAGAGGCGGUGCGAGGCCAACCAUAA